AUUGAACGCUAGCGGGAUGCCUUACACAUGCAAGUCGAACGGAGUGGCGAACGGGCGAGUAAUGUAUCUGAACGUGACCACUAGCGGGGGAUAACUACGCGAAAGCGUCGCUAAUACCGCAUACUAUUGGAGCGGCCGGUAUCGGAUUGGCUAGUUGGUGGGGUAACGGCUCACCAAGGCGGCGAUCCGUAGCUGGUUUGAGGGGACGACCAGCCACACUGGGACUGAGACACGGCCCAGACUCCUACGGGAGGCAGCAGUGGGGAAUUUUGGACAAUGGGUGAAACCCUGAUCCAGCCAUCCCGCGUGUGCGAUGAAGGCCUUCGGGUUGUAAAGCACUUUUGGCAGGAAAGCGGUACCUGCAGAAUAAGCACCGGCUAACUCCGUGCCAGCCGCCGCGGUAAUAC
rnacentral:rRNA from 1 species